rnacentral:lncRNA from 1 species
CGGCCCAACUCCGUUCCUGGUCGGCUCGCAGGUUAACUUUAUCCCAGGUCACCACCGUCCAUCAACUAGGGGCGCAAUGCCUUCCACCAUCGGAAGGACUUUGACCCUAAUGGGUAUCGAUCCCGGGAUCUCCCGGGGGCAAUGGUCGCGCCUUACCAGUAGUGCCAAACCCUAUAUAUCAGCAUGUAUGUAAGCGUGUAAGGUCCAAAGGUGCCCUUGCUAGGAAAUGCAGUGGGUUUUUUUAUGG